rnacentral:lncRNA from 12 species
AAGGAAUGAGGAGCAAUUAAUUAUAUUUUGGAUGAGAAUGUGUUGGAGGAAGAGAAAUUUGCAGAGAAGGAAUCAGACACAUUGGGUGAGUUACAUUUUGUGAUUCCCUCCACAUAAAGGCUGACAGUAGCUGAAUAAUUUGCCUUUUCUGGAUAUGGAUGUUUUAAUAGGUGAGUCUAUGAGCUCCAGCUUAGGAAACUGAGGACUUAAUU